rnacentral:rRNA from 1 species
ACGUAGGCAGCGAGCGUUGUUCGGAAUUACUGGGCGUAAAGAGUGUGUAGGUGGUGCUCUAAGUUCGGUGUGAAAUCUCCCGGCUUAACUGGGAGGGUGCGCCGAAAACUGGAGUGCUCGAGCGUGGGAGAGGAAAGCGGAAUUCCUGGUGUAGCGGUGAAAUGCGUAGAUAUCAAGUGGAACACCAGUGGCGAAGGCGAGUCUCUGGACAUUUCCUGACGCUGAGGCACGAAAGCCAGGGGAGCAAACGGGA